CUGAUGUCUCCUUGGCUUUAUAUAGGAAGCAAAAGCUUUAUUUUCUCAUCCAUUAAAAUUCCAGAAAUCAAUUUAGAAUGGCAGUUAAGACAGUUAGGUAGCUAUUAUUCCUAUAUCUUCUAGUUCUAGGGAACCUCAGCCUUAUCUCUUACUUCCUUUAAGAUAGGAUAAAUACAGAGCUGGGUGUUAUAAGUUGAAUCUAUAGAUCUUUUUUCAACAUUUUACUGCUACACUUAGCAUUGAAACAAGUUACAGGGAACCACAGCAAGAGAAUUUAUGGCCUUACAAAUGAAGGCAGCAUGUGAUAAAUAGUGCAUUAUCAGUUGUUCAGGCUGCAGACCCAUAACAUUGGUGCUGGAUCCUCUUUGCCAAGGUGUACAGACUGGGAGUUCUGAAGGUGAUAGCAGUAGCUUGAGGAAAUCUGCCCCCAGUGUAUCCUCCUGCAAGAAGUGGAUCUAGACCCUGGGGAGAAGGGCUGCUGCUACACUCGAAGAGGGAGAGGAGAAAGACUGGAGAGGGGGCUCCUAAAGAGGUAUGGGGCCAGGAGGAGAAUUUGCUGACAGAAAGCACAGCAUGAGUUUGAGGUGGUCACAUUACUCAUGAGUGAGUUAGGCACAACAUCCUCCACAAGUGACAAUAAAACCAAUCAAAGAAACUAACAUGGAUGGCUGCCAUCUUUGGAAUGAGGUCCAUUUCAUCUGCUGUAAAUGAAGGAUUGACAUGUGGCAUCAAUCCAUAUUUAGUUAAGGAUUUGGGAUGUUACUGGCUUUCAGACUUGCUCUACCACAAAUUCCCUGCCAAAAUCCUACUUAAUGCCCAGUAUCAAAUCAGUCUCUUUGGAGCUUCCUGAAUAUAUGGUGAAUAAAUUCUGCUGGAAAUAGCAUAUGCACCUACGAAGAGGAUAUUCUGCUUUUCUGUAACAAUAGUCAAAUACCUUACAUAAAUAUGCCCACACCUAAAUCUGUCUCAUCUUGUUGAUCUGCAUGUAAAAUUCACACCCUGACUUGUGUAAAUGCAACCCAGCCAUGAAAAUAGUUUGUUCAUGAGUCAUAGCCUUACAAACACUGAGGUAAUUGUGAAAGCAUCCCUUGUUAGUUUGCAAUUAGGGUAUUAAGUCUUGAUAUCCUGAAUUAAGCUUGGGAACAAAAUUCUAAAGUAUUUUAAAAAAAAACAUUCAAUAGGCUUAAUCUUGUAGGUAGGAAAAGACAAAGCAAAUGCAUUUAUUUCAACAGCUAUUCCGUAUAAUUAGCUCACCUUUGGGGGGCAAGGCAGGUGGUGCUGUUGAGAUUAGCAGUACAGAACAUCUGAGAAGGACUGAUACAGAGAUAUAUCACCUGCACAGAUGCGUACAGGUCCACAAAUAUAAUCGCAAGUACAGUUACUGGGACAACAGGCUGUCUGAACACGUACAUUUUAGAAUCUUAACAACUUGUUAGAAAUACGACUGCUUCAGAUUGUGCCCAGUAUUCAGCAGUCCUAUCAUAGUAUAAUUUAGAAAACCAUAACAGAGACUGGAGGGGGAAAGCAGAUAUACGAAGAGCAUCAAGAAGAAAAAAUGUGGUGUUUUUUAAUGGACCUGAGUAGAAGCAAAACAAUAUUAUACUCUGCAGCAUCUCUGUUUCUGAGGAUCUGUGGGGUAGGGGGCAGUAUGAUGCUACUCAUAACACACCUUUAGAUAUUCUGGUUUUGGAAGGAGUUACACUUACACAAGUGUAACCCUUCUGCUAUGUGGAGUCGGCAACAACAAGGGCCAGGUUGAAUAUCCAGCAGUUCCUCUUAACAAUACAAAACAGAAGCAGCUCGAAUCCCCACCCAGUAAUCUGGGACAACUAGACACCACUUCUACGAAGUAAUACUUCCCCACU